rnacentral:lncRNA from 10 species
UGAAUAGAAGAAAAGGCUGAAUAAGAAAAAAUUCUUGUUUUGGCCAUUGCACCCAGUUUUUUGCAAAGCUUGAAACUAUUUCAAAGUAUUGGGUUGAUUAGGAUCAUCCCAUUGGUUAAUAAAUAAAUGUGUUUGUGCUUUUAAAAAUAAUUCUUUCUGACUGACUCUCUUCAGACUGGGACACUGGUCUUCUCCUUCCUUUGGACUCAGACUCAGACUUAGACUGGAAUUUACAACAUCAACUCACCUGGGUUUCCAGCUUGCCAACUUCAGAUCUUGGACUUCUCAUCUUCUAUAAUCAUGGAUCUGUUCCAGAAGGAACUGCUGGAUCAAAGCAUGUGCGAACUCUUAAGGCUUCUGAUACAUAUUGCCAAAUUACCACUCGAAGGACUUACCAGCAGUGAAUGGGAGAACCUCUUCCCCAGGGUCCUGACCCACCCAACCAUAAACACACAAUAAGGAAGUAAGGGGGAUGGGGGAGGGAUAUUAAUGUUUUAAUUUGUUCUUUUGUUUAUAAGUAAAGAAAAAUUUGUUUAUUCCUUAUGAUUAUUUGUAUUUUUUCUUUUAUAAAUACUCUUUGUUUAUUAUUCAAAUCAGCAUGCUCUUCUCCUUUUUGUUUGCAAGAAGAGAGAG